CCUACUUUGUUUGACAAACUUUUCUGUUUCUAGGUGGCUGCUUAGAUAUUUUAGCUUGUGGACCCAUGAGCUUCUGAGAUUUCUCCAGGCCCUACUUCCCAUCUCAGCUCACCACAGGCUGUAAAAAGAAGGGGCAGCAUGGAUCCUCAGUUUCUUUUAAGGAAGUAUUGGGAGAUGAGGAGACAGAAUUACUAAAGAGGAC
rnacentral:lncRNA from 1 species